rnacentral:SRP_RNA from 1 species
ACCGGGCGUUGUGGCGGGCGCCUGUGGUCCCAGCUACUUGGGAGGCGGAGGCAGGAGACUCGCUUGAGCCCAGGAGUUGGAGGUUGCUAUGAGCUGUAAUGCCACGGCACUCUACCCAGGGGGACAGCUUGAGGCUCUGUCUCAAAAAAAAAAAAAAAUACUCAAAACUCAUCAUUUGCUAAUUAUUCUUGCUAUUAUCUAUGGGUUUUUUUUUUUUUUUUUUGAGACGGAGCCUCAAGCUAUCCCCCUGGUUAGAGUGCCAUGGCAUCACGCUCACAGCAACCUCCAACUCCUGGGCUCAAGCGAGUUUCCUGCCUCAG